rnacentral:lncRNA from 1 species
GAGAAACAGACAGAAAGACUUGUUCAGGUAAAGGCGAGGGACACAUUGAAUGUUUUAGCCUUCUAUUAAUCUAUUCAAAAACUAAUUAUAAAGAGAAGAAAUACAAGACAGAAACAGAAAUAAAGUUGUUAGAGACAUUGCUCUCACAAGAGAAAGAUGGAGAAUUUCUUACAUUACAUGUUAUUCCUUCUGUAAGGAAAAGAAUAUUUGAAAGCAGACCAGGUCCGUCAGAUGUCAUGUUGACUCGCUCUGCUUUCACCUGUGAAGAUGCUGAUAUUAUACAAGUCUCCCUGAGUUAUGCCUCAGCUCACUAAAGCAAAAACUUCACUUCUUUCUCCACCUGGCAAUGAUCUCUGUCCAACCCCACAGCACAUUCCGGCAUUUGCACUGUGCCGUGGACGCCGCUGCAUUGUGCAUGCUCCAGGCUAUGUUUGUGGACAGUCACGUCGCCGCGGAAGUCAAGCUCAUUUGUCAUCCUUGCUAGGCACUUGCAGGGCUGCCUGAAGAGAAAAAUAUCUGAAAGCAGGCAGUGACGAAGGUAAAGAAGAGACUCAGGAGUGGAAGGGCAGAAGGGGGCUGUGGGGGUGGAUGUACGGAACCAGGCAUAUCUGAGUCCCUGGAAGGACAGGCUCCUGCGUCAUAAUUCUGCUUCUGAUGGGAGGCCUUCGCAGUGACAAACCUGGGCCUUCUGGCUCUCCGUAUGUCUUAGACCUCAUUUUGAAACAGGUUAUUGCAGUAAUGGCCCCCGAUUUGUCCACAUCUCCCCGUAUCCACACCCUUAGGUAAUCCUUUCCACACUGACUCGGAGCUGGGAUGGUAGCAAAUACGAUUCAAGCAGAGACUUGAAAAGGGCUUGUGGGUUGGGGCUUACUUACUUGUUUCUCUUGGAACUCCGUGACUCUCAUGUGAAUAAGCCUGGAAUAAACUCCUCUAAAAUGAGAGACCACAUAGAGAGAGAGGCCCUUAUCAUCCCAGCCAUCCCAUCCGAAGCCUUCAUAAACCAGCCAACUCUAGACAACUCAUCAGUCUCAGCAAUAAACCCAGUUAGGAACAGCCAGGCCAGGCCCAGAGCAGAAGAAUUGCCCAGUUGAGCUCAGCUCCAAGGUACUGAGCUGCACACUUGUGUGCUGAAUAAGUGACAUGGUGCGUUACAAGGCAAAAGAUAACUGAUAAAUGCCUUAAUACUUGGCUUGCCUAUCCAUUUCAGAAAUAAUUCCAAUUCAGUCUUUCAUGAAUGUUUUCACGGUUUCAUUUGGAAAAUUCUGCUCUAAAAAUUAUAAAGGGGUGAAAAUAUAAGGCAACUUAGUAUACUAUCACCAUUUGAGAAGGGUAUUUUCUAAAACAGUCUCUCCUAGUAACUUUCAGAGGUAUUUGUGAGGUGAAAUGAGAGUGGGGAAGAGACUUCUAAAAUCACGUUGCUAAAAGAAAGUGGCAUCGCUUAGCAGCAACAUUUCAAAACCAGAGAAUCUUCAAAUAUUCUAGCUUAUCCACAUAUUUGUGUAUCACAAAUGUGAUAUGAUGGACAUUUUCACUGUUGCAGGAAAAUCAGCCCUGACUCUCUUGUCUCGUACUUAAAUAUGAUUCUUAAUGGACCUACAUUUCAAACUCCUGGAUCCCUUCUCAAGCUCCAAGUGCCUUAAGUUUGAGUUGACGUGGCGAGUGUGGGAGAAAGUAAGAAACAUUAAAUACUUGCAAUUUACACUUUGGGAGUUUCCAAAAUUCAACUCAUUCAUUUUUUUUUCCAGCAAAUAUUUUAUUGAGUGUCUGGUCACCACCUUGUGUGCUGCUCUGAAAACCUGCUAUAACUGCACAAAGGUGGCAGAGCACAUUGCUCUUAAUUCCCAUGGCUUUCUUGGGAAACUGUACACUACCACUGCAGUCACAAUAUGGUCUUCCUCUCUUCCCAGCCACCCCCACCAUAAAGCUACCUGAAAUAAGGGCACAUUACAUAUUUUCUGAUGGUCUUUCCUCUGUAGAGAAAUGUAGAUCCUGGAUAAAGACCCUUGGCAAGGACCUUUUUCCUCUGCCUGAUAUUUGUAUUCAAGCAAAAUAAUGAUAGUAAGAGUAAGCAUUUAGAAAGUGUUGACUAUGUAGCCUAGCACUGCUCCGACACUUUACGUUUAUUAAUAGACGACUGAGGCUAGCUUUGAUCAAUAAAAUCACGUGAGUAGGCACAUUUGCCACUCGGUGGUACAAGAAGGAGUCCCUAUGGCAUCGCAUGACUGUCCAUGGAGUUUCCAGAGAGGUGAUAACUGAUGCUGUGAACUCCUGGUUUCCAGGAAACGGCUCUAAGCUUGUCUCUAAGGUAUCUAAACAAAUAUUUUAUUAUCUUCUGGGAAUUCUGAUCCUGCAACCUAAAUCAAAGAUCCCAAACACUAAAUCAAAUUUUUGUGGCCUUCAAAGCUUAAUAUGAAAAUUACCAGUGAUGUUUUUCUUCCCCCAUAAUAUGACAUUAGGAGCUUAGUAAUGCAUAUCUAGAUGUGAGUUGACAUUUACACUUGUUAUUUGUUGGGAAGGAUGAGUAUGCUUCAUAAUUUAUAUGUAUCAAAUAUCUUCAUUUGUGUAAAUCAAAGAGUUACUAAUAAAAAUGCUAAGAGAAGCUGGA